rnacentral:rRNA from 1 species
UCUGUAGCAAUACAGGUGCUGUCUAGUGGCGGAAGGGUGAGUAACGCGCGGGCAAUCUGCCUUUGAGUUGGGGAUAACACUCCGAAAGGAGUGCUAAUACCGAAUGUGGUCGCCUUGGACAUCCAAGGCUAUCCAAAGCCGGGGACCGUAAGGCCUGGCGCUCGAAGAUGAGCCCACGUACUAUCAGCUAGUUGGUGAGGUAACGGCUCACCAAGGCUAAGACGGUUAGCUGGUCUGAGAGGAUGGUCAGCCACACUGGGACUGAGACACUGCCCAGACUCCUACGGGAGGCUGCAGUCGAGGAUCAUUCGCAAUGGGCGCAAGCCUGACGGUGCGACGCCGCGUGCAGGAUGAAGGCCUUCGGGUUGUAAACUGCUGUCAUGAGGGAGCAACGACUCUAGCUCUAAUACCGCUAGGGAGUGAUAGUACCUCAGGAGGAAGCCACGGCUAACUCUGUGCCAGCAGCCGCGGUAAUACAGAGGCGGCAAGCGUUGUUCGGAUUUACUGGGCGUAAAGGGUGCGUAGGCGGUUCCGUGUGUCGGAUGUGAAAGCCCACAGCUCAACUGUGGAACUGCAUUCGAAACUACGGUGCUAGAGUACGGGAGAGGAGAGCGGAAUUCUGGGUGUAGCAGUGAAAUGCGUAGAUAUCCAGAAGAACACCGGUGGCGAAGGCGGCUCUCUGGACCGAUACUGACGCUGAGGCACGAAAGCAGGGGGAGCAAACAGGAUUAGAUACCCUGGUAGUCCCUGCCCUAAACGGUGUGCACUUGAUGUUGGUGGGAUUGUCCCCGCCAGUGUCGGAGCUAACGUGUUAAGUGCACCGCCUGGGGAGUACGGUCGCAAGAUUAAAACUCAAAGGAAUUGACGGGGGCCCGCACAAGCGGUGGAGCAUGUGGCUCAAUUCGAUGCAACGCGAAGAACCUUACCUGGGGUUGACAUGUAACUGCACGCCCGAAGAAAUUCGGGAAGCCUUCGAGGGUGUUACACAGGUGCUGCAUGGCUGUCGUCAGCUCGUGCCGUGAGGUGUUAGGU